rnacentral:rRNA from 1 species
AGGAAAUAGAUACCCGGGUAGUCCACGCUGUAAACGAUGAGUGCUGGACGUUGGCGGGUUUACCUGCCGGUGUCGCAGCUAAACGCGUUAAGCACUCCGCCUGGGGAGUACGGCCGCAAGGUUAAAACUCAAAGGAAUUGACGGGGGCCCGCACAAGCGGUGGAGCAUGUGGUUUAAUUCGACGCAACGCGCAGAACCUUACCAGCCCUUGACAUGGGCGGACGGGGUCCAGAGAUGGACUCUUUCUCGCAAGAGACCGCUACACAGGUGCUGCAUGGCUGUCGUCAGCUCGUGUCGUGAGAU